rnacentral:rRNA from 1 species
CCUACGGGAGGCAGCAGUGAGGAAUAUUGGUCAAUGGACGAGAGUCUGAACCAGCCAAGUAGCGUGAAGGAUGACUGCCCUAUGGGUUGUAAACUUCUUUUAUAAAGGAAUAAAACGAGGCACGUGUGCCUUUUUGCAUGUACUUUAUGAAUAAGGAUCGGCUAACUCCGUGCCAGCAGCCGCGGUAAUACGGAGGAUCCGAGCGUUAUCCGGAUUUAUUGGGUUUAAAGGGAGCGGAGAUGGGUUGUUAAGUCAGUUGUGAAAGUUUGCGGCUCAACCGUAAAAUUGCAGUUGAUACUGGCAGUCUUGAGUACAGUUGAGGUAGGCGGAAUUCGGGGUGUAGCGGUGAAAUGCUUAGAUAUCACGAAGAACCCCGAUUGCGAAGGCAGCAUACUAACCUGAGACUGACAUUGAGGCUCGAAAGUGUGGGUAUCAAACAGGAUUAGAUACCCUGGUAGUC